CAUGCAAGUCGAACGAGAAUCUACUGAAAGAGUCUUCGGACAAUGGAAGUAGAGGAAAGUGGCGGACGGGUGAGUAACGCGUGAGGAACCUGCCUUGAAGAGGGGGACAACAGUUGGAAACGACUGCUAAUACCGCAUGAAGCAUAGGGGUCGCAUGAUCUUUAUGCCAAAGAUUUAUCGCUUCAAGAUGGCCUCGCGUCUGAUUAGCUGGUUGGCGGGGUAACGGCCCACCAAGGCGACGAUCAGUAGCCGGACUGAGAGGUUGAACGGCCACAUUGGGACUGAGAUACGGCCCAGACUCCUACGGGAGGCAGCAGUGGGGAAUAUUGGGCAAUGGGCGCAAGCCUGACCCAGCAACGCCGCGUGAAGGAAGAAGGCUUUCGGGUUGUAAACUUCUUUUAAGAGGGAAGAGCAGAAGACGGUACCUCUAGAAUAAGCCACGGCUAACUACGUGCCAGCAGCCGCGGUAAUACGUAGGUGGCAAGCGUUGUCCGGAUUUACUGGGUGUAAAGGGCGUGCAGCCGGGUCUGCAAGUCAGAUGUGAAAUCCAUGGGCUCAACCCAUGAACUGCAUUUGAAACUGUAGAUCUUGAGUGUCGGAGGGGCAAUCGGAAUUCCUAGUGUAGCGGUGAAAUGCGUAGAUAUUAGGAGGAACACCAGUGGCGAAGGCGGAUUGCUGGACGAUAACUGACGGUGAGGCGCGAAAGUGUGGGGAGCAAACAGGAUUAGAUACCCUGGUAGUCCACACUGUAAACGAUGAAUACUAGGUGUGCGGGGACUGACCCCCUGCGUGCCGCAGUAAACACAAUAAGUAUUCCACCUGGGGAGUACGAUCGCAAGGUUGAAACUCAAGGAAUUGACGGGGGCCCGCACAAGCGGUGGAUUAUGUGGU
rnacentral:rRNA from 1 species